GCGGGGGAUGUAGCUCAAUUGGUAGAGCACUCAUUAUGCUAAUGAAGAUGCACGAGGUUAGAUUCCUUGCAUCUCCAAUAUUACUAUUUUUUAAAUAAAGUAUAAAUUGAUUUUAAAAAAUAUAUGAAGAAAUACAAACCGAGAAUCAUGUUUAAGUAGGAUUAAGAGUGUUCAUUUAUAUCAAAUUGGGGAUGCAGCUCAAUUAGUAGAGUGCUCAUAAUGCUAAUGAAGAGGCAUAGGGUUAGAAUCCUUACAUCUCCAAUAUUAUUAUGUUUUUAAAUAAAGUAUAUGAAGAAGUACACAACGAGAAUCAUGUUUAAGUAGGAUUAAGAGUGUUCAUGAACACCAAAUUGGGGAUGUAGCUCAAUUGGUAGAGAGCUCAUUACUCUAAUGAAGAGGCACGAGGUUCAAAUCCUUGCAUCUCCAA
rnacentral:lncRNA from 1 species